UGAGCUAAGCCGGGCUGUGCUGGGAUGGCCUGGACUGAGCUGAACUGGGCUGAACUGGGC
rnacentral:miRNA from 1 species